UCAUAGGUAUAAUCUCAUCAUAAUCCAAAACCCAUUGCUCUGAUUUAUGGAGUUCAUCAUAAUCAUUACAAAAGUAAGAUGCAGCAUAUGAUGAAAAAUAUCUUUUAUUUAUAAAAUAUCAAUUACAUGAGUCUAGAAGAUUAUAAAGAAAAUCCAUCAAAAUACAAAUUUCGAUUGACUUGUAGGGCAUAUUCCUUUCAAGAAAUACUUCAACGAUGGGCC
rnacentral:lncRNA from 1 species